UACGUAGGGUGCGAGCGUUGUCCGGAAUUACUGGGCGUAAAGGGCGCGUAGGCGGUUCGCUAAGUUGGAUGUGAAAACUCUGGGCUCAACCCAGAGCCUGCAUCCAAAACUGGCGGGCUAGAGUUCUGGAGGGGGUAGCGGAAUUCCUGGUGUAGCGGUGAAAUGCGUAGAUAUCAGGAGGAACACCGGUGGCGAAGGCGGCUACCUGGACAGAAACUGACGCUGAGGCGCGAAAGCUAGGGGAGCAAACAGG
rnacentral:rRNA from 1 species